GAAUUCGAAGUCUGCGGACUGUCUGCGUAGAACAUCGAAAUCAUGAAAUUCGAGCUCGCGAAAAAAAGAAAGAAAGAAAGAAAAUAUCUUUAACAAAAAACUUUCAAGUUAUCACUCAAAUAUUCCAGAAAGAGCAAAUCAUUCGAAAUUAUUGAAAUUAUUUUACGAUAUUCCGUGACCACUGUAAACAUAACCUAACAUUGAAAACGCACAAUUAGAGAACGCGCACGAUUCAAGGUGAGAUUCCUGCUGGGCCAAUUGCGGAUAGAGAAAAUAAGUAUGUUUUCAAUGAACCCUCUCUCUUUCUAUACACACCGAGAAUCCCAAAGGGAGAGAGAGAGAGAGAGAGAAAGAGAGACAACACAGAGAGAAUCGGGCUGCAUUAUCGCGGGAUUGCCCUUGUCGCUAUAAAAAAAAAGCUUGACCCGUAUUCUCUUUUUACGUUAAAUCUAGCCACCGCCAUAGAAACCUCGUUUUUUCUUUUUUCUUUCUUUCUUUUUUCUUUCUUUUUUUCCUUACUUCGCUCGUUUCUUAAGCGACUCGUUUCGAGGAAAGGGACACUCAAGACGAGAAUCGUCGUCGACGGACGGUUUCUUGAAUACGUUUGUAACGAACGGUAGAGAGCACUGGUUCGAUCGAUCCGCGGGCCGAAUUUAGGUAAUAACCACUUCUUGCCGCGGGACAUCCGCGUUUAUACGGAAUACUGGCUUCUAAUGGUUGGCCACGAUCGCUUUUAGCGGUGGAUCGAUGACGCUUGAACUUUGAUUAAUUUUACCGGAUAACAAUACAAAUAAUAACACGUUGGAGAAUAUACAGAUGCAUGUCGACAAAAUAUGGAUUCGAGAGUUAAAAUUGGCAAAGUGUGAACAAUACGAUCUAACGGCAGCGCCGACUUAUAAACGUAAUAAUAGAAAGUUGUGGUAAAUCGACGAAUUUAAAAGUAUGCGAAAAGAGUGUGUGUGCGUGCGUGCGCGCGCAUUAUAGUGGCGCACUGGGGACGUUCCAGAGAAACUUUCGAGCGGAAUUGCUCGCGUAUUUAGGAAUUCGUCUAACCGAUUCCAAAUAUAGUAUCAGCGUAAACGGGCACAAGUACGUAUCUAUUACCGUAACAGAAACACGCGUACUAUUUUCCCUCGGCUCUGUCAAGGUGCUCGUAACAUAUAGUUCACGGUUGAAAUAUUAUACGCAAUCUAGUUACAUCUUCGUCUCGCAUCAAAGACGAGACGAUUUAACGAUUUCGAGUCGAGGCUUGAAUUUAAAUUUCAAUCAAGCUAAUCUUCUUAUCUCUCGAUAAUAAAUUAUCAUUACCAAUUAAGAAAAUCGAGACCAAUAUAUAAUUAACGCAAUUAAUUAUCAAUUAUAUAAAAAUAUACACGACGAAUCUGUUUCGUUUUAAUUUUAUUCCCGUUAAGAGGGGAAGGAAAAAAGGAGAAACAAGCAUCGAUUCGUCAUUCCUUACGUCUAGAUUGAACACUACCAUCGUGCACGCUUUCCCUGAUCAUCAUUUCUAUUUAAUUGCCUGAGAGAGGGAGAGAGAGAAUAAAAGGAAGAAAAACGGAGAGACGAGAGAAAUAGAUAAAUGAGAACCCCUGGUUCGUUUGGCUCGAAUGGGGCGACUGGUUGCCGGUCGUUGACCCCGCAACUGCAACCACCACCCCAUCUCGGGCCUCCUCUCUUCUAGGUGCCGUGAAACUGUUCUAUCUGUGCCUCUACUCCGUAUCUAUCGCUCUUCCUGUCUGGUUACUCAUUACGACUUUUUCCGCUUCUUCGGUCUUUUGCGCGUCUUUUUCCCUCCCACCCACCCCUCGGACGCCACCGGAUUAAUUUCUUUCCACGCGACAAGAAUGCAAGACAGAGUGGAUGUCACUCUGGAAAUGGGCAGACGUUGUCGGUGAUUUUCUUUAUGAAUAUAGAUGGUUAUUCUUUUCUCGAAAAAAUUUCAAAAAGAAAGGAAAGCAUCGAUUGUUCCCUACAAUCGUCGCCAAGGAUCGAGGAAUCUUGCAUUUCGAGUAUUAUUUUUUUUUUAAAUUAAUAAACGUUGAUUAUAUAAUAUGAAAUUGAUAGCACAGAUGAUACUGUUGGAUUUCGUAAAAUCUUUUAAGAAGAUAAGUCUUAUCUUAAGGAUUCCUGAAUAAUUAUCUAGAGAUAAUAUAAUUCGAGGUUUAAAGAUUAAGAUAAGCGUGGAUAGGAUAAUAUCCAUAAUUUGUAAUCCCUGAAUCUUUUCUGGUUGUUCGGGUUGUUCAAUUUUUAUUUUCCCAAUAAUCUAAUAAUCUUGGAAAAUUUAUGCAAGGUUUAUAACAAGUGAAUUUUUGACAAAUAAGAUAAACUGUCAUAACGAACGUUUAUCGAUUUAUUAUAAUGAUAAUGUAUCGAUUAAAAUUUGUAUGGACUUUUUAAAAGAACGACGUACAAAAAAAGAAGCAUUUAUAAUUCUAAUUUAUCCAUUUAUAACGAUGGAAAAUGAUUAAUCAUAUAACUGUCUUCAUUAAUACUAUCUAUUAUACUUAAGAGAGCUCAAAGCAGCAUUAUUAUCAAACGGAUCAUCUUACCCAACCCAUGUUUUUCUCUUUUCCCCGUGUCUGGGACGAUAAUUCAGAUAGAAUGACAUGCAAUUUGUUUUGAGAAGGAUUGUGUGACAGUCGAAUUCAACGUGGCGGAACCACCCACGGGUUAUUCCUCCCAGAGGAACCAUUACGCAAAUCGCGAAAUGGACAACCGAUUCGUGUAAUUUCGAUCAACCGUGCACAUUGUAUUCAAAUUUCCGACUCGUUGUUAAACAGUCUGGAAAAAUUAAAAGAAAAAGUAUCUUUAGAGUAGAAAAAAAAAUAUCGGGAAAAAAUGGUCUAAAAAUUUUAUAUCGUUGGAAAUAAACGAUGUAUACCCCCCUCUCCCCCCUCCCGGAAGCGAAAUUACCGUUAAUAUCCUCUUAUAACAUUGAAAUAUUGUACUAUAUAAUAUUUCUAGGUAAACAUAUUUUUGGAUGUAGUUUGUACAAACAUAAGGUCAUCGACAUGAUAUUUUUCAUGGAUGAUGACAGAUUUUCCAAUAACAGCAUUCGAUCAAAUAUCGAGAGGGAAAAACGAUGAAUGAAGCGAUCAGUAAAUAAUGUCAAAUUUUUUCUAAACGGGUAAUAGAUGUAUUUUAAUAAAAUAUAUGUAAAAAAUAAAAUAAUAAUUACUGUAAAACAAAAUUGAUUAGAUUCAAUUUAUUCGUAUAUACGAAUAUCUAACAUCUAUCUGUGUUAAAGGAAGAGAAAAAUAUUUAUAUUGCAUAAAUAAUUGUGCACGAAUAUGAUUAAUCUAAUAAAAUUAUAAUAUAAUAUAUAUAA